rnacentral:lncRNA from 1 species
GGAAGGCCAACAAGCGGGAGUUUAAGGGCACUGGAAACCCUCGGGGACCUUCUUGCCACAGUAGUUCACCAGGAGGCUGAGGCUGAUGGGUAUGUUGAGGUUGGCGCCGAGGACGUUGGCCUUGAGGGCGGUGCAGAGGCAGAGGGCAGCCUCGUCGUCGGCAAGCCCUUCCACCAGACUGCAGCAGGGCUUCUUCGGCGGCUUGCCGAUCUCGACGUUGAUCAAUUUGAGGACGUCGCUGCAGGCGGCAAAUUUGAGGGUGUCCACGGGGCAUUUGCCGGAGGGGGCAGGGCUCGGGGUUGGCUUCGGCUUCGGCUUCGGCUUGGGUUUGGGCUUCGGCGUCGGGGUAGGGCAGUAGCCGCAGGCGCUGGUGAGGACCCAGAAGAGGACGUUGAACAAGAGGAAAAGAGCGAUCGAGCUUGUGGUCUUGGACGCCAUGGUCUCUUCCACUCUAGUGAACACUAAGUGCUCG